CUCAGCCAUAGGUGCUCCGCAUUCUAUGCCUGCCAUCAACGGAAUGGGCGAUGGUGCCCAACUGGAAAUGGCAUCCUUCAGGGUUGCCGAGUUCUCCGAAGUCCUCGACUGGAGGCCCAUGCUGUUCCAAGAGCCCAUCAUUGCACAGAGAGCCUGUGUCCUGUGCGGCGUCGUGUACAAGAAAGCAGUCAGGCUUCCCUGCGUACACACACUGUGCGCAAAGUGCCAUGCCCAGUGCGUCGAACGAGGAAGCGCUUGUCCUGUCGACCAGAAACCAUUCUGCGAAGAUGAUGCUGAACAGCUGGACGUCUCUCUCAAGUAUCUCCUGAACCGUACGGUUGCCUGCUGGAAUGCACCUAAAGGCUGCUGCUUCAUCGGCACUGCAGCCAGCCUCUUGGACCACUACAAGGAGUGCGGCUUCAGCGUCGUGCCUUGCUGCCUGUGCCGCUCUUCAGUGUUGCAGCGCGACAUUAUGGAGCACUUCAAGAGUGGAUGCAGCAUUCGCGGAGCAAAGUGUGCGCCUACUGACAACCCUGCCACAGAAGACCUCAAGGACGUCAGCAGUGCUUUUCUCGAGAUGAAGAGAGCCACGGGAAAGAUCUCCGAGGACCUCAUGUCGCUGCAGACCAGCCUGAACCGGUGCAGCGAAGACGUCAGGGCGAAGGGUGCAAGAUGGAAGGGCCAAACGGAGGCUGAGGCUUCCAAGCUUGCUGAACAGCUGAACAGCCUUAACACGGUCUGCACCACCGGUUUCGCCGAAGAACUGCGAGUUCUUCAAGCAACAAUGACCGACUACAAAGAGCAUGUGAGCAAGGAGCUCUGUUUGCUAGGCCACUGUAAGCCUGUGAGGGUCCACUGGUACAUUGAGGGGUGGACAGACCUGAAGAAGAAAGCACUUGAGCUAGGGUUGCAGUCGAUAGAGAGUCCCCCAAGGGUCAUUUACGGUUAUAGUAUAUCCCAAGUUUUUGAUAUCGACCUAAAGGAGGGUGAGGGCGCCAUUGGGUGCUACAUACAGAUACACCCCGGGAAACAAGACGAGCAGCUGGAGUGGCCCUUUCGCAAGGUUUACACGGUUGGUGUCAUUCACCCCAAAGACCAAUCAAGUGUGAUUUCGGACAAGGUAAAUCCUGGUAACUGUGGAGAUGAAUACCAGGAAUGCUUUCUGAGGCCCAAAAAGCAAGCAAAUUUUGGAUAUGGAGCACAGAGCCUGACAACAGUCGAGGAGGUUGAAACGGGUGGGUUUAUAGAAAGCAAUACACUCCACAUGUUCUUAGAGAUAGAGUCAUAAAUUCUCUUCAUAUUUGUUGUACAUUAAUUAGGAUUCAGCAAGUACUGGUUUGCUUAGCUUUGCAAAAAGAGCUUUUAACUUUUCUGAGAGCCUGAUGUAAGAAAAGGAUUGCAAGUUAUACUUUCCUUGCAUGUAUUACAGUGUAUUGUUAAAAAAAAUGUUGCUAUGUGA